GAUGAACGCUAGCGACAGGCUUAACACAUGCAAGUCGAGGGGCAGCAUGAUUUGUAGCAAUACAGAUUGAUGGCGACCGGCGCACGGGUGAGUAACGCGUAUGCAACUUACCUAUCAGAGGGGGAUAGCCCGGCGAAAGUAAGACUAAUACCCAAUGACGUCUCUAGAAGACAUCUGAAAGAGAUUAAAGAUUUAUCGGUGAUGGAUGGGGAUGCGUCUGAUUAGCUUGUUGGCGGGGUAACGGCCCACCAAGGCGACGAUCAGUAGGGGUUCUGAGAGGAAGGUCCCCCANAUUGGAACUGAGACACGGUCCAAACUCCUACGGGAGGCAGCAGUGAGGAAUAUUGGCAAUGGACGAGAGUCUGAACCAGCCAAGUAGCGUGCAGGAAGACGGCCCUAUGGGUUGUAAACUGCUUUUAUAAGGGAUAAAGUGAGUCUCGUGAGACUUUUUGGCUAUGUACCUUAUGAAUAAGGACCGG
rnacentral:rRNA from 1 species